ACAAGGGAAAGGAAGAGGUUCAGGAUGAAUCUCAUUUCAGUUUUCACUCAAACCACAUCCAUGAGUCUUGCCUGAGCCAACAAACUCCGUCGCGCCGGAAAUUGCCUCAGGCGGCGGCGGAGGUCCAAACCUACAAAAACUUAUGUCAAAAUGCUCAGCGUAAUCUCUUCUCUCACAAUCUCAACUAUUUUCAUCACAUCCUCCUCCAUGAUCCGAAUCAAAGUCAAAGAAGGAAGAACCCUAGAACUGAAAAUCAAAAUUAAAUGACGAGUAUGAAGAAAUUGGAAACCAAACCUUAAGAGUUUGGCUCCCUAGAGCUCAAGCUACAUCGUGUCAACAAAAAUGCGAACGAAAAUGAUGGAUUCAAGAGCAACUGACCUACGAAGAGGAUCACUCGUUGAAUCUCAAGGUCGAUGCAAAUGGAUCAAGAAAAUACCAGAGGCACAAUAGUAAGUGAUGGAGAGUGAGAGGUUCAGAGAAAAAUCAAAACCAUAGAGUGAUGCAAAUUCUCAGAGAUUGAAGAUGAUGAUGUGGUAUUUCGAAGGAGCAAUUGUAAGGGUGUGGAAGGUGAAUAUGGAGAGAGAAAUCUCAGAAACUAAACGAGAGUGAGAGAGUAGUGAUUGUGGAAAAUGAUGUUUUUCUUCUUUUUUUACAAUGAUUGGUGAGAGGGGUUGAUUUAGAGAGGGGGGAGAGUGUAACUACUUCGAGCAGUCAUGGAAACCGUUUGGGCAAGGGGAUGUUGGAUCUAGUUGAGAUUCCAAACUUGAUGUGGGAAAUCUAGAAGACUUGUAUGUGGCUGCCAUGAUUCAGGAAGCAAUAUUCAAUAAGUUCACCCUAGUUUGGGAUGGCAUCAUGGCUAGCAUGGAACAAAUCGAAUCUUAGUGAAUAACUUUAAAGACUUUGAUGCACAAAGGAGGAAUGCCUUGCAAUUGAAUGAAGGAAAUAAGAUUAGAGUUUUCUUGGGGUUUAGUGGUUGACCUUGGUCAACUGGCUGACCAAAAAAUCAAUAAUUGACCAAAGUCAACUGUAGGUCGAAAGUGUAUUAUUUUGUGUAAAGUCUUGGAUUUUGUGUGAUGUAAUGUAAUUGGAUAUUUGGAAAUGAAAAUGGAUUUUUGAAUGGAUUGAACAA